UACAGAGGUCUCAAGCGUUGUUCGGAAUCACUGGGCGUAAAGGGUGCGUAGGCGGCGUGGAAAGUCAGAUGUGAAAUCCGCGGGCUCAACCCUCGAAUCGCAUCCGAAACUACCAUGCUAGAGGACUGAAGGGGAGCUUGGAAUUCUCGGUGUAGCAGUGAAAUGCGUAGAUAUCGAAAAGAACGCCCGUGGCGAAGGCGAAGCUCUGGUCAGUAACUGACGCUGAGGCACGAAGGCCAGGGUAGCAAACGGG
rnacentral:rRNA from 1 species